CCUACGGGAGGCUGCAGUGGGGAAUAUUGCGCAAUGGGCGAAAGCCUGACGCAGCGACGCCGCGUGAGGGAUGAAGGUCUUCGGAUCGUAAAGCUCUAUCAGCAGGGAAGAGAAUGACGGUACCUGACUAAGAAGCCGCGGCUAACUACGUGCCAGCAGCCGCGGUAACACGUAGGGGGCGAGCGUUAUACGGAUUUACUGGGUGUAAAGGGAGAGGAGACGGUUCUGCAGGUCUGAAGUGAAAGCCAGUGGCUUAACCGCGGAACGGCUGUGGAAACUGUGGAACUGGAGUGCUGGAGAGGCAAGCGGAAUUCCUAGUGUAGCGGUGAAAUGCGUAGAUAUUAGGAAGAACACCAAUGGCGAAGGCAGCUUGCUGGACAGUAACUGACGUUGAGGCUCGAAAGCGUGGGGAGCAAACAGGAUUAGAUACCCCUGUAGUC
rnacentral:rRNA from 1 species